AAACCAUAUAAUCCAAACUCUAAACUAAUAAUUUAUUUGAAGGUUAGAUAUAUUAUUAAAGGGUUAAUGUUACCCUUAAACUUCAGUUCCACAAACAAAACAAGUAAAGCUUUGAAGAUUAAUUAUUAAACGAUGAAAAAUGACUGAAAAGGUAAAAUAAUGGAAUAUUGUCAUUGGUUGAAUACUCAAACACACGGAUCACUCUUUUCCACCAUAGAUACAUUUUGAUCCAACGACUCAGAUCUUCUCUACGUCUUCUCCAUUGUGUGUUUCUUUCUUCCCUUAUCCUAUUUUGAACCUUUCAUUCUCUGUCUUUCCUAUGUCAUCUUAUCCUAACUAGUAACCAUUGUUUCUUUUUUUUCUUUACAGAAUCAAAUUUCUUUAUUUGUAUAUGCAAAGCUUCCCAUCUCAUCUUUUAGAGAUGUCAUCACAUCUGCAGUGGAAUCCUUUCCGAGAGACUGCGGUGUACUGGCGGAGAAGAAAUUAAAAAGGUGGAUGAGGCAGAAAAAGAUGAUGUUUGGUUGUGAAGAGGAACCUUGCUAUCUCUCCUGGUCUCGUGAUGCCUCUCAGCUUCAAGCCAUCUGGAUUUGUGGUGUUUGUUGACCUUCAUGGCCUGCUCUGCAUCCGGCUCGGCUCAAGAGAAUCUUUCUGACCUGAGACAAUGAGACAUGCUUAAGAGAAUCAAGAUGUGGAAGCGUUACUAUCGGACUUCUCUCCGCCAGUCGCAGUGCAGUAGUGGUGCUCCCAAGUCACAGGGUUGUGGUGGUGGUCGCUGUAAGUCCAAUUGAAGAGGCGGCGGUGAAGAUGUGGUUUAUUUUUUUUUUUUUUUAGAUUUUUCUUUUGAUGUGGUUUAUUUUUGUAAACCAAUUUAAUUUGUAAACCAAUUUAGUUUGUAAACCAAAUUUAAUUUAUAAAACAAAAAUUUCAUUGGUAAAAAGAAUAAUUAGCUUGUAAACUAAUUUAAUAUAUAAUUUUGUGAUUUA